UGGGGAAUAUUGCACAAUGGGCGCAAGCCUGAUGCAGCCAUGCCGCGUGUGUGAAGAAGGCCUUCGGGUUGUAAAGCACUUUCAGCGAGGAGGAAGGUGGUGAGCUUAAUACGCUCAUCAAUUGACGUUACUCGCAGAAGAAGCACCGGCUAACUCCGUGCCAGCAGCCGCGGUAAUACGGAGGGUGCAAGCGUUAAUCGGAAUUACUGGGCGUAAAGCGCACGCAGGCGGUUUGUUAAGUCAGAUGUGAAAUCCCCGGGCUCAACCUGGGAACUGCAUUUGAAACUGGCAAGCUAGAGUCUCGUAGAGGGGGGUAGAAUUCCAGGUGUAGCGGUGAAAUGCGUAGAGAUCUGGAGGAAUACCGGUGGCGAAGGCGGCCCCCCUGGACGAAGACUGACGCUCAGGUGCGAAAGCGUGGGGCAGCAAACAGGAUUAGAUACCCUGGUAGUCCAGCGCUGUAAAACGAUGUCGAUUUGGAGGUUGUGCCCUUGAGGCGUGGCUUCCGGAGCUAACGCGUUAAAGUCGACCGCCUGGGGGAGUACGG
rnacentral:rRNA from 1 species